GACGUAGGGCGCGAGCGUUUGUCCGGAUUUAUUGGGCGUAAAGAGCUCGUAGGCGGCUUGUUGCGUCGACCGUGAAAACCCGGGGCUCAACUUCGGGCUUGCGGUCGAUACGGGCGGGCUAGAGUUCGGUAGGGGAGACUGGAAUUCCUGGUGUAGCGGUGAAAUGCGCAGAUAUCAGGAGGAACACCGGUGGCGAAGGCGGGUCUCUGGGCCGAUACUGACGCUGAGGAGCGAAAAGCGUGGGGAGCGAACAGG
rnacentral:rRNA from 1 species